UAGGCUUUGUGAGAAGAAAAUACAAGAGUGAGUCUUGUCCAAUCUUCCACACCACCACCUCCUCAUAAAGUUUCAUCUUCUGAUCUAGAAGAGUUCGGGAGAUCUGAAGAAAGGAGCUUGGAUCAGCCAUCCAGAGCUUUCGACGUGAGCUAGCACUCCCACAAAAGAAGAUCCUAUCGGGGCUUCGAGUGGACAAUAUUUAGAGGCCGAACGAUCUGUGUGGCUAUUCGACAUCAGUGAGAGCUUUGUUCCAUACCUACUAGCAGUGG
rnacentral:lncRNA from 1 species